GACGAACGCUGGCGGCGUGCCUAAUACAUGCAAGUAGAACGCUGAAGGAGGAGCUUGCUUCUCUGGAUGAGUUGCGAACGGGUGAGUAACGCGUAGGUAACCUGCCUGGUAGCGGGGGAUAACUAUUGGAAACGAUAGCUAAUACCGCAUAAUAGUAGAUGUUGCAUGACAUUUGCUUAAAAGGUGCAAUUGCAUCACUACCAGAUGGACCUGCGUUGUAUUAGCUAGUUGGUGGGGUAACGGCUCACCAAGGCGACGAUACAUAGCCGACCUGAGAGGGGGAUCGGCCACACUGGGACUGAGACACGGCCCAGACUCCUACGGGAGGCAGCAGUAGGGAAUCUUCGGCAAUGGACGGAAGUCUGACCGAGCAACGCCGCGUGAGUGAAGAAGGGUUUCGGAUCGUAAAGCUCUGUUGUAAGAGAAGAACGAGUGUGAGAGUGGAAAGUUCACACUGUGACGGUAUCUUACCAGAAAGGGACGGCUAACUACGUG
rnacentral:rRNA from 1 species